ACUAUUUCAGAAGAGGAUCUGCACCUAAAUAAACUCAUGUUCUUAUCUUAACUCCUAGGAAAUACGUAACAAGCAAUUCAUAGAGUUGCUAGGCGUACAUUUAUUGCCUUCUUUUUUUGUUGUUUCAAUGUUUAAUCACUGGGUUUUUUAUUCUACUAGACAGCUACUGCCACAUCAACAUAAUCUUCCCAAUUCCCAGGGUCUUCCUGUAAUAACCUGACUUGCUUCGAUAACCUAUAAGGCUUCCUGUGGGCAGAACAGCGAAGCCACCUACCUGGUUGAACAGUGCUCCCCAGCUGUCUAUAUGCUGAUGUAUAUUCUAUUAAGGGUAUUGACUAGACUGGCUUUUGAAGUUACAAGAAAGCAAGAGACGCCUCAGGUACCCCAGGAAAAAACACAGGUCUCCAGAAGUGGCCUCUACCUGCUCAAAGUUACCCAGUAAAUGAAGGAAGAAAAAUAGUAUUUAUCAACUAUCUAUAGGCAUUGUGGUAAGUAUUAUAUUUUAAAGAUAUACUAGUAAUAAUGCCAAAAUAAUAUGAAUAGUAAUGGCUUACCUGCCCACGCUGAGUAUUUUACAUGUAAGUUUAAAGUGGGAAUGUACAUUUAGUCUCAUACACACUGCACACGCACAAGAUGACCACACGGCUUGUGGUUUCAUGCACUAAGCUCUGACACCCUGAACCACGUCUUCUGUGCUAGGUUGGUCUGGCGAGAACUCUGACUGGCUAGUUUGGCUCUAGCCAGAGAGGCUCAGCUACUGGUCCACAUCUGAGUUCCACUGAGCCAAAGUUAGACUGUUAGUCUAGUUAGAGUUGGACACGGAACAGCAGACUGGUUCCAAAUCAGGAAAGGAGUACAUCAAG
rnacentral:lncRNA from 1 species